rnacentral:rRNA from 1 species
AUGAAGAAAGCACAAGAGAAGCUUGGGCCAUUGUUGGGACGAAACCCUGGCUUGUCUAAAGAUUUCAACAAUUGUGUUGACUUUAGCUUUACACCACAGGAGUUUGAGGCAGGUUGGUGUGAGCUGAUGAUGAAGUAUGAGGCUAUGACUGACUCCCACUUUGAGAAUCUAUACAAGUACCGAGAAACAUGGGUGCCCUGUUACUUCAAGCAUCAAUUCUUCCCUUUCUUGCAGUCAACACAACGCAGUGAGGGGUUCAACGCUGUCCUUAAGCGUUAUGUGAACCCACACAAGUCCAUCUUGAACUUCGUGAAGCAAUAUCAGAAAAUCCAAACACACAUACUAGUUCGAGAGGGUGCGAAGGAUUACAGGACAGGACAUUUGCAAAGUGAAAUGUGGUCAUCUUACCCAAUUGAAAAGCAAGCCUACAAUUCAUACACUAGAGACUUGUACGAGAAAUUCUGCGAUGAAUUUCAAUUGACUACAAGGUACAACGUGCGACCCCACGGUGAACACUUGUAUGAGCUCUACCCCAAUCAA